AUGAACGCUGGCGGCGUGCCUAAUACAUGCAAGUCGAGCGAACGGACGAGAAGCUUGCUUCUCUGAUGUUAGCGGCGGACGGGUGAGUAACACGUGGAUAACCUACCUAUAAGACUGGGAUAACUUCGGGAAACCGGAGCUAAUACCGGAUAAUAUUUUGAACCGCAUGGUUCAAAAGUGAAAGACGGUCUUGCUGUCACUUAUAGAUGGAUCCGCGCUGCAUUAGCUAGUUGGUAAGGUAACGGCUUACCAAGGCAACGAUGCAUAGCCGACCUGAGAGGGUGAUCGGCCACACUGGAACUGAGACACGGUCCAGACUCCUACGGGAGGCAGCAGUAGGAAAUCUUCCGCAAUGGGCGAAAGCCUGACGGAGCAACGCCGCGUGAGUGAUGAAGGUCUUCGGAUCGUAAAACUCUGUUAUUAGGGAAGAACAUAUGUGUAAGUAACUGUGCACAUCUUGACGGUACCUAAUCAGAAAGCCACGGCUAACUACGUG
rnacentral:rRNA from 1 species